UCUUGACAUCCCAUAGAAACUUUCCAGAGAAUGGAUUGGUGCCUUCGGGGAACUAUGAGACAGGGUGCUGCAUGGCUGUCGUCAGCUCGUGUUGUGAAAUGUUGGGUUAAGUCCCGCAACGAGCGCAACCCUUAUCCUUGUUUGCCAGCACUUCGGGUGGGAACUCCAGGGAGACUGCCGGUGAUAAACCGGAGGAAGGUGGGGACGACGUCAAGUCAUCAUGGCCCUUACGAGUAGGGCUACACACGUGCUACAAUGGCGCAUACAGAGGGCGGCCAACUUGCGAAAGUGAGCGAAUCCCAAAAAGUGCGUCGUAGUCCGGAUUGGAGUCUGCAACUCGACUCCAUGAAGUCGGAAUCGCUAGUAAUCGUGGAUCAGAAUGCCACGGUGAAUACGUUCCCGGGCCUUGUACACACCGCCCGUCACACCAUGGGAGUGGGCUGCAAAAGAAGUGGGUAGUUUAACCUUCGGGGGGACGCUCAC
rnacentral:rRNA from 1 species